GGAUGAACGCUAGCGACAGGCUUAACACAUGCAAGUCGAGGGGCAGCGGGGGUGAUGGCUUGCCAUCACCUGCCGGCGACUGGCGCACGGGUGAGUAACACGUAUGCAACCUGCCCGCCACAGGGGGAUAAGCGGAAGAAAUUCCGUCUAAUACCGCGUGACGCGGCGCCGGGGCAUCCCGGUGCCGCCAAAGGGAUUACCGGUGGCGGAUGGGCAUGCGGCGCAUUAGCUAGUCGGCGGGGUAACGGCCCACCGAGGCGACGAUGCGUAGGGGUUCUGAGAGGAGGGUCCCCCACACUGGUACUGAGACACGGACCAGACUCCUACGGGAGGCAGCAGUGAGGAAUAUUGGUCAAUGGGCGUGAGCCUGAACCAGCCAAGUCGCGUGAGGGAUGACGGUCCUACGGAUUGUAAACCUCUUUUGCCGGGGAGCAAGCGUGCGUUCGUGAACGCGCGUCGAGAGUACCCGGAGAAAAAGCAUCGGCUAACUCCGUGCCAGCAGCCGCGGUAAUACGGAGGAUGCGAGCGUUAUCCGGAUUUAUUGGGUUUAAAGGGUGCGUAGGCGGGAUGCCAAGUCAGCGGUAAAAAUGCGGUGCUCAACGCCGUCGAGCCGUUGAAACUGGCGUUCUUGAGUGGGCGAGAAGUAUGCGGAAUGCGUGGUGUAGCGGUGAAAUGCAUAGAUAUCACGCAGAACUCCGAUUGCGAAGGCAGCAUACCGGCGCCCUACUGACGCUGAGGCACGAAAGCGUGGGUAUCGAACAGGAUUAGAUACCCUGGUAGUCCACGCAGUAAACGAUGAAUGCUAACUGUCCGGCUCGAAUGAGCGCUGGGCGGUACAGCGAAAGCGUUAAGCAUUCCACCUGGGGAGUACGCCGGCAACGGUGAAACUCAAAGGAAUUGACGGGGGCCCGCACAAGCGGAGGAACAUGUGGUUUAAUUCGAUGAUACGCGAGGAACCUUACCCGGGCUCAAACGCAGGAUGACGGGUCCCGAAAGGGGUCUUUCUUCGGACAUUCUGCGAGGUGCUGCAUGGUUGUCGUCAGCUCGUGCCGUGAGGUGUCGGCUUAAGUGCCAUAACGAGCGCAACCCCUGUCCACAGUUGCCAGCAGGUAAAGCUGGGGACUCUGUGGAGACUGCCGGCGCAAGCUGCGAGGAAGGCGGGGAUGACGUCAAAUCAGCACGGCCCUUACGUCCGGGGCGACACACGUGUUACAAUGGCAGGUACAGCGGGAUGCCACGGGGCGACCCGGCGCUGAACCCGAAAACCUGUCUCAGUUCGGAUUGGAGUCUGCAACCCGACUCCAUGAAGCUGGAUUCGCUAGUAAUCGCGCAUCAGCCACGGCGCGGUGAAUACGUUCCCGGGCCUUGUACACACCGCCCGUCAAGCCAUGGAAGCCGGGGGUACCUGAAGUGCGUGACCGCGAGGAGCGCCCUAGGGUAAAAC
rnacentral:rRNA from 1 species